rnacentral:lncRNA from 1 species
UAUCCCCUCAAAAGAGCAAGCGUAGAAUUAGACCUUCACCAUUGUUUUCACCAUUAUCACCAUCAUCACCAUACACCAUUCAUUCGUUACACAUGCACAUCUUGAUUUGACUUAUUGACUUGUUUCUCUGGAUCCAUGGUUUGACUAUGCAAUAAAUGUCUUGUAAGUAUGUAUUAGCUGUCUCCCACCUAUGAGCUCCAGAUAUCAAAGCCUUAUUAGAGUAGGGUGAG